GUUUAACAGAUGUUUCGCUAUUAAAAUAUUCCCCCCCAAGGCUCAAAUAUUGAAGAGUCUUCAACCAGGGACACCGGCCACAACGAAGACCUCGGGCGAUUUCCAAGUGGAGGCAUCUGAUUGCCCGAAUCCGUGGUGUGGCCAGCAUCGGUGCGCCCCUGAUUUCACUGGCCUGUUUGAAGGUGGACAUCAUUCACCGGAUGUAGAACCAAAAUCAACCCCCCCCUCCCCAGGGGUCUUCGCUUUCCCAGUCUCCAUUUGCCUGUAACUCCAGAAA